rnacentral:misc_RNA from 1 species
GAUGAAGAACUUAGAGAAAUGCGAUACGUAAUGUGAAUUGCAGAAUUCAGUGAAUCAUCGAGUCUUUGAACGCACAUUGCGCCCCCUGGUAUUCCGGGGGGCAUGCCUGUCCGAGCGUCAUUGCUGCCCUCAAGCACGGCUUGUGUGUUGGGCCUCCGUCCUCCUCCCGGGGGACGGGCCCGAAAGGCAGCGGCGGCACCGCGUCCGGUCCUCGAGCGUAUGGGGCUUCGUCACCCGCUCUUGUAGGCCCGGCCGGCGCUUGCCGACACAUCAAUCUUUUUUCCAGGUUGACCUCGGAUCAGGUAGGGAUACCCGCUGAACUUAAGCAUAUCAAUAAGCGGAGGA